rnacentral:rRNA from 1 species
AGAGUUUGAUCCUGGCUCAGGACGAACGCUGGCGGCGUGCUUAACACAUGCAAGUCGAGCGGUAAGGCCCUUCGGGGUACACGAGCGGCGAACGGGUGAGUAACACGUGGGCAACCUGCCCUACACUCUGGGAUAAGCCCGGGAAACUGGGUCUAAUACCGGAUAUGACCUCCUAUCGCAUGGUGGGGGGUGGAAAGUUC